rnacentral:rRNA from 1 species
GCGGCUGCUUAACACAUGCAAGUCGAACGGAGUCAUCAUUUUUGUAAGCAAUUAGCUGCUAAGAGUGGAAAGUGUUGAUGACUUAGUGGCGGACGGGUGAGUAACGCGUGGGUAACCUGCCAUAUACAGGGGGAUAACACUUAGAAUAGGUGCUAAUACCGCAUAAGCGCACAGUUUUGCAUGAGACAGUGUGAAAAACUACGGUGGUAUAUGAUGGACCCGCGUCUGAUUAGCUGGUUGGUGGGGUAACGGCCCACCAAGGCGACGAUCAGUAGCCGGCCUGAGAGGGUGGACGGCCACAUUGGGACUGAGACACGGCCCAAACUCCUACAGGAGGCAGCAGUGGGGAAUAUUGGACAAUGGGGGGAAACCCUGAUCCAGCGACGCCGCGUGAGUGAAGAAGUAUUUCGGUAUGUAAAGCUCUAUCAGCAGGGAAGAAAAAAAUGACGGUACCUGACUAAGGAGCCCCGGCUAACUACGUG